AGAGAAAGAGAGCAGAAAACGAACCAAUGGGAGAAUAAUCCGGUGUGUAGGAUUGACCAAUCAGAGUCAUUGUUGUUGUCAGCAACCCAUCUUUGACAGUGUUUAUCUUUUUGUCUCUCGCUCCCCAAAAUGGUGGACUAUUAUUCACUUACCUCUCUCUUAGAUAAAUCAUUCACAGAACAACACUUCUUAUCUCGACAUUUCUGUAACUAGGCUAUGCUUUGACGCCCUAGUUGUUGUUGGUGAUGGAAGUCAGUGUCGGUGGUUUGUUGUUCAAAUCAAACUUUGACUCUGGAAACUUGGCUAAGGUUGAGAGAGUGUAUAAAGAUGAUACCAAAGACAGUUCAUCAGUUUCCAAUAAUGUGAACCGAAAUGCGGAACUCCAACCUGAUUUGGAAUAUAAUGUUUGGACCAGACCAGACUGUUCCAAUACCAUAUAUGAAAAUGGAAAUAGAUCCUGGUUCUACUUUGGUAUAGAGGGGGGAUUGCCUGGCCAAAUGAUCAAAAUCAACAUUAUGAAUAUGAACCGUCAAGGUAAACUUUAUAGCCAAGGAUACUGUCCAGUGAUAUACACAGUUCCUGGCAGCAAUAAAUGGGAACGUCUUCAAGAGAAACCAGUUUUUGAUACUAUUGAUGGCCAAUUUAUUCUGUCAUUCUGUUAUCGGUUCACUGAAAUCAAAGGUGCUACAACAUACUUUGCUUUUGCUUACCCACAUUCCUACAUUGAAUGUCAGAACAACAUCAAUGAGUUGGAGGAGAGAUAUAGUUACUGUAAAAAUAUAUCUUCUGUGGAAAACAUUGCAGAAGAUACUGUUUACUUCUACCGAGAGCUGCUGUGUUACUCCCUGGAGAAGUUGGAGGUCAGUCUAAUAACAGUUUCAUCAUUCCAUAACAUCAUUGAUGAGGAGGAACCUCACUUUGAUCCAAAACUUUUCCCCAUUAAAAACCAGCCAAGGUGCAAGAAAUUUAAAGAGAAAAAGGUGUUUGUAGUAACGAGUCGUGUCCACCCAGGUGAAACUCCUUCCAGCUUUGUAUUUAAUGGUUUCUUAAAUUUUAUCCUUCGACUUGAUGAUCCUCGGUCAAUUCAACUACGAAAGCAGUUUGUCUUCAAGUUGAUUCCAAUACUAAAUCCAGACGGUGUCAUGAAUGGUCAUUACCGGACAGACACACGUGGGGUGAACUUAAACAGAGUGUACGGGGACCCUAGCUUUGAACUCAAUCCGUCCAUAUAUGCUGCCAAAAGUAUCAUUAUUUAUUACCACGUCAACUAUCGGCUAAAGAAAGACAUGUACAAAGACAUCAAAUUUCCUCCAACAGAUAUAUUACCCAAACAAACUGACACCCCUUCUACCACCAGUAAUACAAGUACUACUAAAACCAUUGAUACCAAUUCCAUUAUUAAGUUCCCUGAAAUUACAAACAUUGGUUUAUGCCAAAUCACCCAAUCACUUCAUGCAACUAGAUCAGGGUUAUCUCAUCGAGAACUCAAUUAUAAAGCAUGCCUAUUAGCAUCUCGUUAUAAAUGCCGGAACUUAUAUGAUGGUGAUUUGCCAAAGAGACCCCAUUCAUUCUCCACUUACGAUAGGAUGACUCAGAACAAGUUAAACGUUUGCAACUCCCCAGCUGUAAAAUCAAUAAACCAGUGUAGUCAAACGAGUGGCAGCAGAUCUGAUUCUGAAGACUCUUCAGACCCUAAAGGCAUCAAGAAUGGUUCAUUAAAUAAAGAAUACUCAGCAAAAACUGAAGAGCAGACACAAGUCAUUGAUUCUGAAUUAACAAUGCAUUUAGAAUCAUUGAGAAUUUCAAAUGGAGCUAACUCUGAUAUAACCCAGACAGAGGCAUGUAGGAUUCACUCAGAAUCUGUUGAAUGCAAUUGUAAGUCAGAUGAAGAAAGAACAAACUCAAGAAAUGAUGGUUCUGAUGAAGACCAUGACAGAUAUCAAACAUUACCACCAAGUAAUGUUCCUUCUUCUGCUCAUCUCAAUAACAGUGCAUUCCGAAGAAUAUUGCCCCAACACAGUGGCAUUGCUUUCUAUAUUGACUUACAUGGCCAUGCCUCUCGUAAAGGCUGUUUUAUCUAUGGAAACUUCUUGGAAGCUGACGAUUCACAGAUACAAAAUAUGCUCUAUCCAAAGUUAGUGUCUCUGAAUUCAGCACAUUUUGAAUUUGAUGCCUGCAAUUUUUCCCAACGCAACAUGUACAUCAGAGACAAACGUGAUGGACUCUCAAAAGAAGGAAGUGGACGUGUAGCUAUUCAUAAGUGUACAGGUAUCAUUCACAGCUAUACCCUAGAGUGUAAUUACAACACUGGUAAAGUUAUGAAUGCCAUUCCCCCUGCUUACGGAGACAAAGGUAGAGCUUCUCCAACUUCUAUUGUUGGUAUUCCUCCAAAAUAUACUCCCAGCAUCUAUGAAGAUGUUGGCCAGGCUAUAGCUGUUGCAGCCCUUGAUAUGUAUGAAACCAAUCCAUGGUCAAGAGUCACCCUCUCUGAAUACAAAAGCUUAUAUGGUACUCGAGAAUGGCUAAGAAAAUACUGUUUGAUUCCAAAGGGGUUUCUAAGACCAAAGAACUACAAGCCACCUCUUCGUACACACAGUUUUUCUCAUUUCUCCUCUUCACGUAACAAAAUCAACUCUAAUGACACUAUUUCAUUAAACUCACUCUCAACAACAUCAGAAACAGUUCCAAAAAAUCUCAACUCUGGCAAGAAAGAACUGCGUCCAUUAAAAGAUGUUUCUUCCCGGUUAACAUCGUGUUCCCGAAAAUGCAAUGUAGGUAACAACAAAAAGGAAGAAGAGUCUACGAUAUCUGAAACCAAAGUUUCAGGUUCUUUCACUCUUCCCAACAGCACUGAGUCACCAGGUUUGGCUAGUCUGAGAAGUACACGACUUCAACACAACAAAAUUAACCCCAUUAGUUACAAUGUCUGUUCUGAAAGUGUUCCAAAGCACACCACUAAGUUUACAUCUCGGAAUAAACCCAUCGACUCAAAACUUCAGAGAGCAAAGUCAGAUAUCUCCAAAAGUACUUCAAUUUCACCUGCCAUCUUCUCCAAACCAGUCAAAAGUAACUCCCUAUAUGACAAGAAAGAUGCGGUUAAAACUGGCUUAAGCCGAUCUGUGUCCAGUGGUAAUGAUAAGCAACGCUCAUUGCUUCAUUUAAAUCAUAACCACACAUGGUCAGCCGAAGGUUCGUUUCAUAACAACAAAUUAAUGUUUAAGUCAAGGCGGCACAUGUCUUCUUCAACAUCAAUGCAGAGAAAGAAGAGUGAACUAGCAAGAGUUGAAGGUUCACUAUCAAGUGUCCAUUUGAAAUCAAAGGAGGAGUUUUCAUCUGAAGCCACUAAUGAUGUUCAAAGACUCGUUUAGUGAAUAGCAUCAACACGUGAGAUAAUGAAGCACUUCGUCUCAACACUUGUAUCAUCUUUUUAACACAACACUCCUAUUAUGGCUACCACUUCCAGUUAAGGUUUAGAGAUUAUAGAUGUUCAAUAGCUAAAGCUGCUACCUUCCAAAGUUUUGUAAAUUUACCUUUCAGCAAUGUCAACAGGUUACCGUUUCAAAUCGAAGGAUGU
rnacentral:misc_RNA from 1 species